CCUACGGGUGGCAGCAGUGGGGAAUAUUGCACAAUGGGCGCAAGCCUGAUGCAGCCAUGCCGCGUGUGUGAAGAAGGCCUUCGGGUUGUAAAGCACUUUCAGCGGGGAGGAAGGCGGUGAGGUUAAUAACCUCAUCGAUUGACGUUACCCGCAGAAGAAGCACCGGCUAACUCCGUACCAGCAGCCACGGUAAUACGGAGGGUGCAAGCGUUAAUCGGAAUUACUGGGCGUAAAGCGCACGCAGGCGGUCUGUCAAGUCGGAUGUGAAAUCCCCGGGCUCAACCUGGGAACUGCAUUCGAAACUGGCAGGCUAGAGUCUUGUAGAGGGGGGUAGAAUUCCAGGUGUAGCGGUGAAAUGCGUAGAGAUCUGGAGGAAUACCGGUGGCGAAGGCGGCCCCCUGGACAAAGACUGACGCUCAGGUGCGAAAGCGUGGGGAGCAAACAGGAUUAGAUACCCUGGUAGUC
rnacentral:rRNA from 1 species